UGUGGUGGAAAGAUUUAUCGGUGCAGGAUGGGCCCGCGGCCUAUCAGCUUGUUGGUGGGGUAAUGGCCUACCAAGGCGACGACGGGUAGCCGACCUGAGAGGGUGACCGGCCACACUGGGACUGAGACACGGCCCAGACUCCUACGGGAGGCAGCAGUGGGGAAUAUUGCACAAUGGGCGGAAGCCUGAUGCAGCGACGCCGCGUGAGGGAUGAAGGCCUUCGGGUUGUAAACCUCUUUCAGCAGGGACGAAGCGUGAGUGACGGUACCUGCAGAAGAAGCACCGGCUAACUACGUGCCAGCAGCCGCGGUAAUACGUAGGGUGCGAGCGUUGUCCGGAAUUACUGGGCGUAAAGAGUUCGUAGGCGGUUUGUCGCGUCGUUUGUGAAAACCCGGGGCUCAACUUCGGGCUUGCAGGCGAUACGGGCAGACUUGAGUGUUUCAGGGGAGACUGGAAUUCCUGGUGUAGCGGUGAAAUGCGCAGAUAUCANGAGGAACACCGGUGGCGAANGCGGGUCUCUGGGAAACAACUGACGCUGAGGAACGAAAGCGUGGGUAGCAAACAGGAUUAGAUACCCUGGUAGUCCACGCCGUAACGGUGGGCGCUAGGUGUGGGUUCCUUCCACGGGAUCUGUGCCGUA
rnacentral:rRNA from 1 species